GCUGCAGCAGAGAUUCUAAAUUCCGUUUGCCCUUUUGUAGAUAUCGCGGGGACAUCUGCACCCCAAAGGACAUCGAGAAAGCACAGAAAAGUGUAAAGAAGCUGGGGAAGUCCCUCAUCGUCCCAUCACUCACACGCCAUUGGAGGCAGACAGAGGAUCCAAGCUAUGCCAGAGAAGCAAUUUCCAAAUUCACUUUGGACCAGGCAUCUCAGUAAAUCGGGACUUUCUCCAUCCAUAGUUUUGCCUAACAGCCUCUGCAGUGGCCCAGGAUGUUCACCAGCGACCCCGCCCUCUGCCUAUGAGAUGUCAGCAGCACUCACUCCGUCACCCAUCCCAGGUGUGACAUUUGCAAGCGUCUUCAGACAUUAUCACAAGUCACCUGGGGGUUUCUCUGUGUAGUCCAGCUAGCCUUCAACUCUCUAUGUACUCCAGGGACUCUAAUUUGAGAUCCUCUUGCCUUAAACCCUGGACUGCUGGGAUUACAAGCAGGCACCACCAUAGCCAGCUUUAGAAGAUUAGUUUUACAGAUAGUGGCUUUGUAGAUACUACCGGCCACUCCAAGACUUUCAACUUCAAUAUUCUCUUCCAUCAAGUGAGAGUGAUAAUGAUAUCAACUUCAAAGACUUUUCUUUAAAGGAUUAAGUGAGAUAAUCCAAGCAAAAUUCCGGGCACAUAUUAAAUACAAUUAAAAAAUUAAACAGUUGAA